UACGAAGGGGGCUAGCGUUGCUCGGAAUUACUGGGCGUAAAGGGCGCGUAGGCGGAUAUCUAAGUCGGGGGUGAAAGCCCGGGGCUCAACCUCGGAAUUGCCUUCGAUACUGGAUAUCUUGAGUUCGGGAGAGGUGAGUGGAAUGCCGAGUGUAGAGGUGAAAUUCGUAGAUAUUCGGCGGAACACCAGUGGCGAAGGCGACUCACUGGCCCGAUACUGACGCUGAGGCACGAAAGCGUGGGGAGCAAACAGG
rnacentral:rRNA from 1 species